rnacentral:rRNA from 1 species
GUUCGGAUUGUAGGCUGCAACUCGCCUACAUGAAGCUGGAAUUGCUAGUAAUCACAGGUCAGCAUACUGUGGUGAAUACGUUCCCGGGCCUUGUACACACCGCCCGUCACACCAUGAGAGUUGAGAAUACCCGAAGUCCAUGUCAAAGUGGCCGAAGGUAGGCUUGAUGAUUGGGGUGAAGUCGUAACAAGGUAAC